GUCUACUAUCGAUACUACGUAUAAACAUCGCAGUCCAAAAGGUGGGUUUCGGUAAGCGUGGUACAAGGCUGUGAGGUGGAGAUCUACAGGGUCUCCAAAGAAGUCCACUUUUAGAAAUCAAUCUUGUGCGAUAUUAGUGAGCUUAAGCAAGUGACGUUUUUGACAACACGGACGUCGACCGGAAGUAAAGUUGACGUUUUUCACCAAUCACAGCCCUUGACCCAGUCUUCUGACGUUACUCAUGCCGUCCGUGUUGUCAAAAACGUCACUUGCUUAAGCUCACUAUUAUACCUUUGGGAACUACCUCUUCCGCAGGCCAUACAGCCCGUAGUGAGUGUGCCCGUUCGCAGGUUAAAAUUUGAAAUCUGAGACGAAGCUGCUGUAAGCUUCCGAGACGAAGCUGCUGUUAAGUUAGGGUUAGGUUAGACGAAGCUUUCCGUUCGUUUCCCACCAAUUUUAUAUUUUUGAAAGGCCUGCGGAGGAGGUAGCCUUUGGGAACAUAAUUUAAUUGUAGCAUGUACAUCUGUCAAUUUUAUUUAUUUGCCUUCAAAUACAAAACUAUUACAUGUAAUGAAAAGAAUGAACAUCAUUUUCAGAUAACUGCAGAUCAGCAGAUUGACUAUACCAUCUGCUGCACGACAGUACUUGGUAAACUACCGGUUAUCAGAAUGAAAAAAUGGUAGUAGUUCCUCUCAUGCAGAUUGUAUUUGGAGGAAAAAAAAAUUGAGAGAUGAAGUUUAUUUUUUUCUUUUAUUAAAGAAACAUUUCUGGAAGUGACCACGUCCUCUAGCCUGGUAUAAUGCUGACUAAAACCCACCAAUACUGAAACGUCACCAAGUUUUCUUUAUAUAUUCUUUGCAAUCACAGUAUAAUUGGAUUUUUAUAUGCAAGCACGACUGUUUUAAAUGAAUUCAUAAAGGCAUUGUGAAUGUCUUGCAAUAUGAUUAAUUGGGCGUUUUAUUUAUUUUUAUUAUUUGAGGGAUCUAUAUAUGUAAUCAUGCACGUUGGUAUCGCAAUAAAACUUUCAAACAUGGAAUG
rnacentral:lncRNA from 1 species